ACCAAAUCACCAGGUGCGGUCGCGGCCCUCGGGGGUUCUCUCCCGGGUGGUAGGGGUAACACCCUCACGCGCCGCAUUACUGAAUCCUUUUUUUACGAGCACCUUUCGUUCUCCUUCGGCGGGGCGACCCGCCGUUGGAACUUUACAAACCCCUUUUUUGCAUCUAGCAUUACCUGUUCUGAUACAAACAAUCGUUACAACUUUCAACAAUGGAUCUCUUGGCUCUGGCAUCGAUGAAGAACGCAGCGAAAUGCGAUAAGUAGUGUGAAUUGCAGAAUUCAGUGAAUCAUCGAAUCUUUGAACGCACAUUGCGCCCCUUGGUAUUCCAUGGGGCAUGCCUGUUCGAGCGUCAUCUACACCCUCAAGCUCUGCUUGGUGUUGGGCGUCUGUCCCCGCCUCUGCGCGGGGACUCGCCCCAAAUUCAUUGGCAGCGGUCCUUGCCUCCUCUCGCGCAGCACAAUUGCGUUGUAGGGGGGUGCGGCCCGCGUCCAAGAAGCAACAUUACCGUCUUUGACCUCGGAUCAGGUAGGGAUACCCGCUGAACUUAAGCAUAUCAAUAAGCGGAGGAAUCAU
rnacentral:rRNA from 1 species